GGCAACGAUUAUUUCCAGUGACGGAGGACGAACAUGCCACCUCCCUCCCUCACCUCCUGCAGGCGGAGACGUUCUAGAGAGAGAAACCGAUAAGUUGCCGCCGAUUUAUUCCCUUUCUAGGUUUCACAUAUUUUGAUUUCAAUCUGACAUUUAUAUAUAUAUCUAUAUAUAUAUAUAUAUAUGUCGCCGGACCGGCCUAAGGCCAAAAGGGGCCAUCAUUCAUCAUACGACGAGGAUUUGACGAUGGAGUGCUGGCGCAAUAUGACAGUUCCUGUGCGAAGAGCUUGGACUGGCGUGGCUACUCGUCUUGGCAUUCGAAAAACCGGUAUAGUGAAGUUGAAGCAAGAUGUUCAGACUUGUGAGUAUGAGGAUGUCCGUGUGCUGUGGGAGAUGUUGCAGAGAAAUGAAUCAGAGCUCACUGGAUCCAGAUCCAGUACUCCAAAAAGAAGACGUAUUUGGAACAUGUUCGAGUGUACCAGGCAAGCUCCAUAUCUUUGCCGCAGCUAUUAAUCUGUGAUCCCUCUGUAAACAUUCAAGCUAUUCGUCUACUUGUGGAAGGUACAUCAGUAUUAAUUCGUCUAAAAGGACAUGUAAAUGGAAAAAAAGAAAAAAGAAAGAAAAAAAAAAAAAAGAAGAGUAAAGAGAGAUAGAAUGAGACGCUGCUUCUCUUAGCGAACCGGCCAUCUAUGAAAUUUAACUGCCGGUAGGUCACUGCUUUCUAUUCCAUGUCUCCAAUGAAAUAAUCUGCUGGUAUGUUAUAUUAUCAUGUAAUUUCUUGGUGGACUUUUGGCUCCUAGUAUGGUUUUGUUCGUCCCCGUGGUAUGAAAUAAAUUGUUGUAUGUAAUAUUUUUGGACUUCUAUAUGGUGUUAAAUCAUAAUUAGAUUUUGUA